rnacentral:rRNA from 1 species
CGGCGGCCACCGCUAUAGGAAUUCGAUUAAGACAUGCGAGUCGAGAGUCGUAAUGGACUCGGCACACUGCUCAGUAACACGUGGAUAACAUACCCUAGAGUGGAGCAUAAUCUCGGAAAACUGAGGAUAAUACUCCAUAGGUCACGAGAUCUGGAAAGACUUGUGGCUCAAAGUUCAGGCGCUUUAGGAUUGGUCUGCGGCCUAUCAGGUAGUAGUGGGUGUAACGGACCCACUAGCCGAUGACGGGUAUGGGCCUUGAGAGAGGGAGCCCAGAGAUGGAUUUUGAGACACGAAUCCAGGCCCUACGGGGCGCAGCAGUCGCGAAAACUUCACAAUGGAGGCAACUCCGAUGAGGGAAUUCCUAGUGCCAAUGCAUUUUGUGUUGGCUUUUCUUCAGCGUAGAUAACUGAUGGAA